UAGGGAAUCUUCCACAAUGGACGCAAGUCUGAUGGAGCAACGCCGCGUGAGUGAAGAAGGGUUUCGGCUCGUAAAACACUGUUGUAAGAGAAGAAUGACAUUGAGAGUAACUGUUCAAUGUGUGACGGUAUCUUACCAGAAAGGAACGGCUAAAUACGUACCAG
rnacentral:rRNA from 1 species